UGGAAUUCUGGGAGAACUUGUACCGGUGCAGAUGAUGAUAAAGAAUAUUUGCUAUCUUAACAAAUGUGAUGACAACUUUAAUCACCAAGAUCGCUGAUGCACACCAAUAAGAGAAUGAAAAUACCCACAUUUGAUGUCAGAUACUAAUUUAUCUUAUUGUCCCACAGGUCAAGAUAUUCAGCCCAAGCGUGACUUGACCCGCUUUGUGAAAUGGCCUCGUUACAUCCGCCUGCAGAGGCAGCGCGCCAUCCUCUACAAGCGUCUGAAGGUCCCCCCCUGCAAUCAACCAGUUCACUGCAGGUGUGAACACAGUCUCCUCUGGUGGAGAGCAAGAAAGCCCAGCUGGUCAUCAUCGCCCACGAUGUGGAUCCAAUUGAGCCUAAGGCAACGGGGAAGAAGGUGGCACCGGCCCCUUCCGUGGCCAAGAAAGUAGUCAACCCCUUGUUUGAGAAGAGGCCAAAGAACUUUGGCAUCGGUCAAGAUAUUCAGCCCACAAGCAGGAGAAGAAGCCGAGGCUGCUGGGAAAGGAGAUGCCAACAUCCUCCCAGAUCCACCACUGAGCUGGCGAAGGCCAAAGAACUGGCCACCAAGCUUGGUUAAAUUAUUUGGAAUAAAAAAAGUAUGUCCUGAAA